rnacentral:rRNA from 1 species
AUGUAGCGGUGAAAUGCUUAGAUAUGACCCAGAACACCGAUUGCGAAAGCAGCUUACUAAAUUGUCACUGACGCUGAGGGACGAAAGCGUGGGUAGCGAACAGGAUUAGAUACCCUGGUAGUCCACGCCGUAAACGAUGAUCACUCGAUAUUGGCCUCCGGGUCAGUGUCCAAGCGAAAGUAUUAAGUGAUCCACCUGGGGAGUACGAUCGCAAGAUUGAAACUCAAAGGAAUUGACGGGGGCCCGCACAAGCG